rnacentral:rRNA from 1 species
UACGUAGGGCGCAAGCGUUGUCCGGAAUUAUUGGGCGUAAAGAGCUCGUAGGCGGCCAGUUGCGUCUGCUGUGAAAUCCCGGGGCUCAACCCCGGGCGUGCAGUGGAUACGGGCUGGCUAGAGGCAGGCAGGGGAGAACGGAAUUCCCGGUGUAGUGGUGAAAUGCGUAGAGAUCCGGAGGAACACCAGUGGCGAAGGCGGCUCGCUGGGCUCAACCUGACGCUGAGGCGCGAAAGCGUGGGGAGCGAACCGG